rnacentral:lncRNA from 1 species
CAAUCCUCAAAUCUAUUUAGAUUGAAUUAAGCUUUUCAGAGUUGGAAUAUAUAUUUUGAAUGUAUGGCUUCAUUGAGAAUGAAGUAGAAUCCUGUAUGCACAAAUGGGCUAAUAGUUCUGUAAUAGUAUUCUUUAUGUUGUUUGGAUGAAAUUUUUUUAAUCAAGAAUGGCAUCCCUACAUUACAGGGAAUAAUAGCUUGGUUGUCAUCUCUAUUCUCCAUAUAUAUUUGGAAGGUUAUUAGAACCAUCCUUAAGUAUUUAUGAAAUACUAAGGACUAAUGGCUCGUUUAUGGAGAGUCUGACUUAAAACUUAUGGAAUAUUGAUUUUAAUUUUUAGUC